GGAGUCUAGCAUGUGCGCGUGUCAUUGGGACGACACUAAACCCAAAGGCGCAAUGAAAGUGAAGGAUCGCUCGCGCGUUCCGAGGGAGGAUGGGCCGGGCCCCGGCUCGGCCCCGCACUCCCGGGGCGUCUCGUUCUCAUCGCGAGAUGAGGCGCACCCAGAGCGUACACGCUGGGACCCGAAAGAUGGUGAACUAUGCCUGGUCAGGACGAAGUCAGGGGAAACCCUGAUGGAGGUCCGUAGAGCUUCUGACGUGCAAAUCGAUCUUCGGAACUGGGUAUAGGGGCGAAAGACUAAUCGAACCAUCUAGUAGCUGGUUCCCUCCGAAGUUUCCCUCAGGAUAGCUGGCGCUCGCUUUCGCGAGUCUCAUCCGGUAAAGCGAAUGAUUAGAGGCAUUGGGGUCGAAACGGCCUCAACCUAUUCUCAAACUUUAAAUGGGUGAGAUCUCCGGCUUGCUUGAACCGUUCGGUGAAGCCGCGAGAUCGGAUCAGAGUGCCAAGUGGGCCACUUUUGGUAAGCAGAACUGGCGCUGUGGGAUGAACCAAACGCAGAGUUAAAGCGCCCAAAUCGACGCUUAUGGGAUACCAUGAAAGGCGUUGGUAACUUAAGACAGCAGGACGGUGGCCAUGGAA
rnacentral:rRNA from 1 species